GCGGCCGGGGGCGGGGCUGCUGGCGCGGGGCAGGCCGGGAGCCUCCCCCUCCUCCCGGAAUGCGCGAGGUUAAAGGGGCGAUGCGGGAGGUGGGGUCCGCCCGGAGGAGAAAUGCUCGUUUCCCGCCCUCUGCCUGUCUGCACCGCAGCGGGCGGCUCGGCUGCCGGUGGUCUCGCGGGAGGGGCGACGCCCCCGUGACAGGGCUGACGGAGGUGGGGGGCGGGAAUCUCCCUCGCGGCACCGUUGGCGUUGCCUGUCGCAAGCGGGAAUGCCCCCCCCCAUCCCCCGCCAUGGCGCGGGGCCCAGCCACCGCCUCUGCCCUGUCAGAACUGAAGAGAAGCCACCCGGUUCUUUCUUUUAAAGGCUUUUCAUAGGGAAAAAAAAAAAAAAAUCAAGUUUCUCAAGAAAUGUGAGAAAAUUGAUUGUGCUUUGCCAGCUGGACCGUUCUGAACCUGGUUGGUCUUGUGCCUUUCGAGGGCGCAGGCCUGAAGGUGGGUCUGAGGGGGACCCGUGUUGACACCUCAGCCUCUUUGAUUUUUAAUGAACUCAUUUCGUAUCUAAAUCCAGAUCUCUGCACUGCUUAGAGGCAUCGGCUCUGUCAGAGGUGGCCAAAGACUGGGUUACGAUUUUUAGCUAUCACCAUAAAUAAGAUCUCCCUGUGACUUCUCAGGUUGAGGAACUGUGUAAAGAUUAAUUGUGUAAAAUCCAGGAAUCAUGUAAAGCCAAAACUGUUUUUACAGGAGAAAGUGCCUCCCAGAAGCCUGCUCAGGAAACAGGAAACUACUCCUCGAGAUAGAAAUUGAUAGGAGAGUCAAGCAAAGGCUUUGUAAACUCGCUGCUGGUUAUAUUCAGAAAUCCUGAAUGCAGCCUGUGGCUGAAAGAAAAAAUACAGACUGUUCUGGGAAAAAGAUGCACUUUCUUGUUUUAAAGUAAGCACAUGUAUCCUGUAGAAGCCGACCCUUCGCUUCUUGCCUUGAGAGCCUCUGUCAAGCUGUUCACAAGGACCCCACAGCACAUACUCAGUAUUAACCUGGCCUUGAUGAGAUAGCCGCUGUGCCGAGAGUCCCCCGGACACCCCCAGCACCCGCAGAAGGGACGCGGGUGCGUUACAAAGUCAUCGCUGCAUUGCUAUUGUUCAGGCUGGAGUUACACAUCUCCAGCGGAAAGUCUGAUUUCUGCCGCUUCCCCCCCUUUUCCUCAGUUUCUGAAAACAAGUUGGCUGCUAUGAAAGCGAUGCUGAGCUGAUGCCAUCAAGGCAGAAGCUGUGGAAACGGUGUGCUGAUGGAGCUUCUCAGAUUCGGUAACAGCCUAGCUGAUGCCUGCAGUUGAGAGUGGACACGUCAGGGCAGGCAACAAGGAAAAAGAGACCAGGAAGCCACAUGGAGCAGAUCGAUGGGAGGGAGGGAGGGAAGUAUUAGGAUGGAGGUGAGAAGGGGGCAAGGACUCUGAGCAGGAUCAGAGGGUAUUGCCACAAAUCCCACUCAGUGGAGCAACGGGAUCGUCUGUCCACAUGUGGGAGGUUCCCAUGGAUAAUGAGAAAAAAGUUCAGCUUAAUGCAAAAUUCUGGGGUUUAAAGAUAUUCAGUUUUAGUAUCUAAAAACAAUAAUUUUCUUGAGCUUUUUAACUAAUCAUUUCCCACAUUUUAAAAUAUGUAUGUAGGACCAUCCUCAACAGCUUACAUGAAGCCCUUCUGUCAUUUCCAGGUUACUAAGUCUAAUAAAGAAAUCCUGGGAAAGAGA